CAGUAGCCGCGGUAAUACAGAGGGUGCGAGCGUUAAUCGGAAUUACUGGGCGUAAAGCGCGCGUAGGUGGUUUGUUAAGUUGGAUGUGAAAUCCCCGGGCUCAACCUGGGAACUGCAUCCAAAACUGGCAGGCUAGAGUAGGGCAGAGGGUGGUGGAAUUUCCUGUGUAGCGGUGAAAUGCGUAGAUAUAGGAAGGAACACCAGUGGCGAAGGCGACCACCUGGGCUCAUACUGACACUGAGGUGCGAAAGCGUGGGGAGCAAACAGGAUUAGAUACCCCUGUAGUCCCUGUCUCUUAUAC
rnacentral:rRNA from 1 species